rnacentral:rRNA from 1 species
CCUACGGGAGGCUGCAGUGGGGAAUAUUGGACAAUGGGCGAAAGCCUGAUCCAGCCAUGCCGCGUGUGUGAAGAAGGCCUUCGGGUUGUAAAGCACUUUCAGUGGGGAAGAAAGCCUUGGGGCUAAUACCCUCGAGGAAGGACAUCACCCACAGAAGAAGCACCGGCUAACUCCGUGCCAGCAGCCGCGGUAAUACGGAGGGUGCGAGCGUUAAUCGGAAUUACUGGGCGUAAAGCGCGCGUAGGCGGUCUGAUAAGCCGGUUGUGAAAGCCCCGGGCUCAACCUGGGAACGGCAUCCGGAACUGUCAGGCUAGAGUGCAGGAGAGGAAGGUAGAAUUCCCGGUGUAGCGGUGAAAUGCGUAGAGAUCGGGAGGAAUACCAGUGGCGAAGGCGGCCUUCUGGACUGACACUGACGCUGAGGUGCGAAAGUGUGGGUAGCAAACAGGAUUAGAUACCCCUGUAGUC